rnacentral:rRNA from 1 species
ACGAACGCUGGCGGCGUGCUCAACCCAUGCAAGUCGAACGGAAAGGCCCUGCUUUUGUGGGGUGCUCGAGUGGCGAACGGGUGAGUAACACGUGAGUAACCUGCCCUUGACUUUGGGAUAACUUCAGGAAACUGGGGCUAAUACCGGAUAGGAGCUCCUGCUGCAUGGUGGGGGUUGGAAAGUUUCGGCGGUUGGGGAUGGACUCGCGGCUUAUCAGCUUGUUGGUGGGGUAGUGGCUUACCAAGGCUUUGACGGGUAGCCGGCCUGAGAGGGUGACCGGCCACAUUGGGACUGAGAUACGGCCCAGACUCCUACGGGAGGCAGCAGUGGGGAAUAUUGCACAAUGGGCGGAAGCCUGAUGCAGCAACGCCGCGUGCGGGAUGACGGCCUUCGGGUUGUAAACCGCUUUCGCCUGUGACGAAGCGUGAGUGACGGUAAUGGGUAAAGAAGCACCGGCUAACUACGUG